AAAAAUACAUCACACAUAAGAGACUGAUUCCGUGUCCUCUGCACCUGCAUGUGUCUUACAGAAGUUGCUGAGAUGGCCUGUGAAGAACUGAACUGAGAAGAGCGGAUGGGUGAGCAGAUGAAGGAUGUUUAAUGGGCAAAGCAAAGUUGCAGAAAAACUCUAGAAAGUUUCAUUUGCUCUCUCCCGGAAACCCUGGCAAUUUACAAUGCACAGACUGGAGAAUUGGGGGUGAAUAUCUUAUGAAGCCCUGUGAGUGGAUCCUUUGCAGCCAAGGAUUUCAGAGCUAUUCAGUUCACACUUUUUAAUGAAUUGUCACUAGAUAUCAAGACUGGCCCCAUAAGACUAAGAUGAAACUAAUUUUUUGUUGGGGUCUUUGCUUUGCCAGUCACAGUUCAUUAUUCCCCAUUGUUUCUAUUCAUUUUCUAUUGUAGAGUUUCGGGGAGUCAGCAGUACAGAAUGCAAAUCAGGAAUCACUCCUUCACGCCAGGUCAGUUUAGAGCAAAAUAUAAGGAAAAGCCUAAGUGCACAGAAAGAAAAAAUACCCAUGGAAGAACAUAAUAUCUCUAGUGUGACAGUGAAUGGACCAAAAAUUGAACCCAGCCUUUUUGGAACUGUCGUGCCACUUUGCCACCAUGCUAAUCAUAAAAGAAAUAGUCACUAUUUAAAAAAAUGAACCUCUUGAAAAAAAUGUUUUUAUUUUAGGCUCAGGAAGCAACACAAAUACUUAGUGUUCUCUUCAGCUGCUGAUGAACAGAUUCAAAUUACCAAAGCUGAUGCUCCACAAUAAUGAAGGCAUUGUAUGUGCAUCAGAGCCGGAUGGCAGCCAUAAGAUGAUUUGUGUAAACCUUUGCAUACCACAAACACCUCUUUGUUUAGCUGAAAAGUGACAUGCUAGCUUUAAAGCAUUUUGUUUUUAUUUCACUGUUACCUUUAAUAUUACACAGCCUAAAAUAAAACAGAGAGCAGGCUGUUUUCGAACAAAUUUCAAAUAGACCAAAACAAAAAGUUGACACUCCAUGAAGUAAAGGUUAUAUUAAUGUAAACCUAGGCAAAUGUUGAGGUAAGGGUCUUGUUAUGUGUCUGUAAGGGAGGUCAAAUCUGACAAAACUAGCCUGAUCAUAUUUUACAUUUUCUUAAGGUGGACUGACAGAUGCUUCACAUAACCAGCAUUUAAAUAAAGGGGAAAGCAGAGCUGAUUAUCUGUCUAUUCAUCAUUAUAUUAUUUACUGUAGAACUCCCAACACUAGAGAGAAAUAGAAAAUACAAUAGAAACACAUCAAGAUAAGAAGCAAAUUACAAGAUAACUGAAACCUAAAAUAAAUAACAGAUUAAUAAAGAGACCAACUACAUGGCUAUAGAUAAGAACUAAAAUCCAGUUAACUGAAUGCACAGAUCAGAAGCUGAUAAGACUGACAUGCUAAGAACAAAAGAGUCAUUUUAAAAGAAUUGAGUGCUCAAAGAGGCUGGCAUGAUGGUGCAUUAUGGUGGUGGAUUGCAUCACCACCUGGGCAAAGUUUUGGACAUCCAUCAUUAUACUAAUUACUGCAGAACUCCAACACUAGAUAGAAAUGAAAAAUACAAGAGAUACAAAUCAAGGUAAAAUGCAAAUAACAAGAUAAAUGAAACCUAAAAUAAAUAACAGACUAGUAAAGAUUCCAACUGCAUGGUUAUACAGUAGAUAACAACUAAAAAACAGUUAACUGAAAGCAGAAAUCACAAGCGGACAAGCAUUGGGUCAUUUUAAAAGAAUUGAGUACUUAAAGAGGGUGAUAUGGUGUGCAUUGUAGUGGUGGACUGCAUAACCAUCUGGGCAGAAUUUGGACAUUUUUCUGUUUCUUCACCCAUAUCCUAAACACGUACAUGUUAAGUGAAUUGGCAACUCUAAAUUGGCUUAGUAUUGGAUGAGUAUUCUUUCCAUUCAUAUAGCAUAUUCUUUCUACUCAAAGAGGUUUUACAUAGAGAGCAGGGCACAACUUCAGUCACCACCAAUUGUGCAGAAUACACCAGAAUGAUGUGAUGGCAGCAAUUUUGCACUAGUACACUCACAUUAGCUAUUAGGUGGUGAAGGGCUUAGAGAGAUAGCUCAUUAGAGAAAGGGGGUGCCAGAAUGACUAGGCUAUAGAGAGCAAUUUAGCCUGGACAUCAGGAUGCACCCUGCUCUGUUCAGGUAUAUAAAUAGUGCUCCAUGACCCCUGCAUAGACAUUUGGGGGACACAUAUUUGGAGGAGAUGCCUAGGAGCACAGGCAAAAAGAAUUCAGGAAUUAAAGAUACAAUAGAAAAUAAUGUUUAACACAGUGGAAUACAUAUUUGAUUAUUUUCUAAAUGUAAAAUAUGGACAUGCAACAAGUUCAGUCUGUUUGCUGUGACCUUCGACAUGACCCUUAACCUGCCACUCACAUUGUAUAAAUAUUAAGCUUAUACUCGACUUAACCCCUCAUCUGACUUAUCAGUACAUGUGGAGCUUUGACA